UGGCUCAGGAUGAACGCUGGCGGCGUUGCUUUAACACAUGCAAGUCGAACGAAGCACUCUAUUUGAUUUUCUUCGGAAAUGAAGAUUUUUGUGACUGAGUGGCGGACGGGUGAGUAACGCGUGGGUAACCUGCCUCAUACAGGGGGGAUAACAGUUGGAAACGACUGCUAAUACCGCAUAAGCGCACGGUAUCGCAUGGUACAGUGUGAAAAACUCCGGUGGUAUGAGAUGGACCCGCGUCUGAUUAGCUAGUUGGUGGGGUAACGGCCUACCAAGGCGACGAUCAGUAGCCGACCUGAGAGGGUGACCGGCCACAUUGGGACUGAGACACGGCCCAAACUCCUACGGGAGGCAGCAGUGGGGAAUAUUGCACAAUGGGGGAAACCCUGAUGCAGCGACGCCGCGUGAACGAAGAAGUAUUUCGGUAUGUAAAGUUCUAUCAGCAGGGAAGAUAAUGACGGUACCUGACUAAGAAGCACCGGCUAAAUACGUG
rnacentral:rRNA from 1 species